CACUCAUGCAGCAUGCUGCUCAUGCAACUGAGUUGGUUCAGUACGUUCUCUAAGAAGACGCGCUCACCAAAUUAAUUAAUUAAUUUUUGAGUGAGUGAGUAAUGCAGAUUGAUGUCUAAUUAUUCAAAGAAAAUAUGUCUUUGUUAAUUAUUAUAUAUAUUAUAUCGAAUUGAGUCUGUUGAUAAAAGGAUGAGUGGAUAUCAUCAUUAUGUGUUGUAAAAUUGGAGUAUUACCCCACUCAGGAAGAGGAACGAUCAGGAACACCCUCAAGACUUUCUCCAUAAGUCAACAAAGUUACCCUUACAGGAAAUAGACGAUGGGUAACUACUUCAGAGUCGUCACUCGAAAGAAGGAUGGAAGAUAUUAAAUUUUACUCCUUGCUCUCUACUCAGUCUGGGGGCAGACAUUUCCUCAUAGAUGGGAUAGACGAUGCCUUCAAUAAGGAAGGGAUCUUUGUAGUACUCGUUUCGUUUUUAGAAGCGUAUAAAUUCAGACAAGACUCUGGCACUUUGGAUUUUCAUACAUAACAUAAUAUUAAUAUAGCUCUUGCUCCUCACUGAUUCACUAAGAAUAAUCUUUAUUGGAUAAUCAUGACUAACAAAAUCAAUCGUCAGAAGAAGUCAAGAAAGAAAGGUUCAUUUUAUGAACUCUCAAACUACUAACAAAUCCUUCGAUUCAAUGACUACGUGUUUGAUCUAUUCAUCUCUCAAGGAUCGGCUCAAGCAUAGACUUCACUUGUGCUUUAUGAUCAUCAUAAUAGUCGAUGUUUAUUUAAUAAAUAUUGAGCAUGGAUGCUCAAAGUUCUUCACUUUUAGUUGACCCCUGGGUAAUGUAAGACACCUUAAUAUACACUUACCUUUUCAUUCUAGAUAUACUUUGUUUUGACAUCUGGAAGAAAAUGACAUCAACUUUCAGCUGUAUUGCAUUCAAGCUAAUUCUGCCACCCAUAUGAAGAAGAAGGACUUCCUAUACCUAGUGUCGAAGUGAAUCAUAUAUGUUCAUCAGAGUGACUGAACCGUUAUUCUGAUAUCAAUAACAUUAUAGCAAUUUAAGAAAAUACACAGAAUGAACCCGAACUAGCUUCAAGCAUUAAGUAAGCCAUUGAGACAUUCGAAAAAGCAGUACAUCAUCAAGACUUUAAUUAGAAAAAUGAUAUCAGCUUUAUUAUAGAACAACUUCACCUUUACUUUAAGUGUAAAAGGACGAAGAUACUUUCUUAAAUUUGUAAGAAUUUCAAUAAUUUGGGACAAUACAAGCCCAGCUCUAUAUAAUUAAAUUAGAGAAUCUGGAAUUAUUUACUUGCCAUCUGAAUCUCGUAUCAGAAGAAUAACAAGUGUUAAUUCAGUUCAAGGAGAGGUGUCAGUCUCAACAAUUGAUUAUUUAAAAUCUAGAGUUAAAUGGCUGAAACAAAAAAUUAUAUGUGGAUGAACUAGAAAAUUGAAUUUUUCCUAGAUAAAUACUGAAUCCUUUUUCCAUUUCCAAAAGAAAAAUAUUUAUGUUCUUCCAUUCGGUGCAUAUCCUCAAAACAAAUUAUAACAACUUCAUUAGAAGACGAAAAUUAUCAUGUGCAUCUUUAAAAAAUGAGGAUGUUAUUCUUGUAACCGAAUUUGGUCAUGUGAAUCAAAUCUAAUAGAUGGAAUUGCAUAAAUAUGAACUCUAAUAUUAUGUACGUCCAAAAGACAAACAAUUCAUUAAAACCAAUUUCUGUAAAUGAGUGGGAGCGAAUUGAUUUUCUUGAUUAAGUUUGCAGAAUGGAUUAUAAAAUGGAAGACACUCUCAAAAAAACAUGGAGGUGGUUUAUCUUAAGAGACAUUUGAUACCGCCUAUCAAAUAUCCAUAGAACUAUCCCAUUUAGCUUUAUA
rnacentral:lncRNA from 1 species